rnacentral:rRNA from 1 species
GGCUCAGGAUGAACGCUGGCGGCGUGCUUAACACAUGCAAGUCGAACGAUGAACCUCACUUGUGGGGGGAUUAGUGGCGAACGGGUGAGUAACACGUGAGUAACCUGCCCUUGACUCUGGGAUAAGCCUGGGAAACCGGGUCUAAUACUGGAUACGACCUUCUGGCGCAUGCCAUGUUGGUGGAAAGCUUUUGUGGUUUUGGAUGGACUCGCGGCCUAUCAGCUUGUUGGUGGGGUAAUGGCCUACCAAGGCGACGACGGGUAGCCGGCCUGAGAGGGUGACCGGCCACACUGGGACUGAGACACGGCCCAGACUCCUACGGGAGGCAGCAGUGGGGAAUAUUGCACAAUGGGCGCAAGCCUGAUGCAGCGACGCCGCGUGAGGGAUGAAGGCCUUCGGGUUGUAAACCUCUUUCAGUAGGGAAGAAGCCGGCUUUU